GGGCGCGCCAGCAAUGGCCGCCGGCGAGGUGCUGCAUGGUUGUCGUCAGCUCGUGCCGUGAGGUGUCCGGGUUAAGUCCCCAUAACGAGCGCAACCCCUACUGCUAGUUGCCAGCGCGUAAAGGCGGGGACUCUAGCGGAACUGCCGGCGUAAGCCGUGAGGAAGGUGGGGAUGACGUCAAAUCAGCACGGCCCUUACGUCCAGGGCUACACACGUGUUACAAUGGCCGGUACAGAGGGCAGCCACCCGCGAGGGGGCGCGAAUCCUUAAAGCCGGUCCCAGUUCGGAUCGGGGUCUGCAACCCGACCCCGUGAAGCUGGAUUCGCUAGUAAUCGCGCAUCAGCCACGGCGCGGUGAAUACGUUCCCGGGCCUU
rnacentral:rRNA from 1 species